UUCAACCCGUGAUAUUUUUUACGUCAACGCGGUGGCUCGAGCUGCUGGGGGCGCGGCGGUUGGAGCGGCGGAUCUGUGCACGGCAGGGGCUGGGAGGCGGAUCCGGUGGCGAGCGGCGAGGCAGGGGUCGCCGGUGACGAUGAGGAAGGCCGGAGUGCGGCUUCCCGGACGGAUCCAUGGCAGAAAAGAGACAGGGUGGUGAGGAAGAAAAGAUGGGAGAAAAGAGGGGCGGUGCGGCGACCCAGGCAUGCUCGCUGGAGCCGGGUGAUGGCAGACGGGCGCGGGAGACGGAAGGAUCCGGCAUGGCAGCGCGAAGUCCUUGUAGUUGGAGGCGGGCCUCCAUGGCCGCGGCGACCCCUCCCCUUCUCUCCGUGGCCACGGCAGCUCAGGCAGCGGUCAGAUCCGCCCUCCCCCCCUCAUUCCUCGCGCUGGAUAACCUAGCCGCCGGGCCAUGGUGACCGAGGGCGAUGAUGACGGUGGUGGCUACCUCGACGACGGCGGCACACACCCAACAUCGCCAUGGACCAGUAGCUCAAGCAUUCUUCUUCCUGAUGGUGAUGGGGUUCCCUCACCAUCUUCAGGUCGUCAUCCUUGAGGCCUCCACCAUCUGCAGGUCUUCCUUCUUUUCUUCCCUCUCUGUUGGAUUCCAUUGGAUUCUCUGCUCUGCAGGUGAAGCUCUAUCUAUUCUCUGCUGCAGUGUCUACAGUGGACUGUUUGCACCUUCUGUGCAAAUACCUGAUUGUAUAUGGAUUGAAUGGAUGGAUAGAUUGCAGGGUCUACAAUGCACCACCUUGAUUUGAUUCGGUCUGGAGCAGCAGCAUCAGCUCCUUCCUUCCUUCUCAACCAUCUGUAUUUACAUUACUACUGUAAGCUUCUGAAAUGUAAAUUAUGCUAGGACAAUUCAUCUUUAGCUUUAACUAUGACAUUCCUAAAUGCGCGAGUAAAUACUACUGGGAUUACGGCUAACAAAAAAAAUUCAUGACAUGCGAGCAAUUCUCGGUUUAAAUACUGCGAGCUUAAAUAACAGGAGCUAAACUGUUGUGCUAUGUUCAGAAUUGGUACUAGAAAAGAUAAUCUAAACUGCACAUUCUGAAAGUAUAUUGGGCUCUUGCCCUCGGGAAAUUAGUCUUCUAAGCAUUACUUCGUAAAUAAAUGACAUGAUAACUUGUUGGUUCAGUUUAAAGCUGUAGGCAGAGGCUUGCGGUAGGGGGAAAAUCACUGCCAGUUGAAAACCAAAACUUCUAUUUGUGAGUAUGAUCGGGACUGCGCUUUUCUGAAAGUAUGUUAGCCAAUGUUUGGAUAUCUUUCAAUUACUUCUGAACAAGAAAGAUGUAGUGCCAUGCUAAGUUUGGAUGUGGAGUUGCAAUUUAACCUGCUUUGCAGCUCCAUUUUGUCUUGCUACAGCAAUACCUUGCCUGAGUGGUUCAGGGGUCAGGAACUUACAUGGGCUUGCUCUUCUUUCAUGUAUUAGAUAUGGAGUCCACGCUGCUUAGAUUUUCUAAAAUUUAUCUUCAUUUCUACAACUUCAUUUUGCAAUACAAAUAUAAGAUCACUAUUAUUACGAGUGGUGAAAUUUUCUUGUCAAUGAACUUUACGGCUAUUUGGUCAUGUAUUUGACUGCUUAUAUUUUUUAUUUCCUAAUUGUGCACUUACUCUGCAUAAAAUUCAUUAGCACAUAUUUCCUUGCAAUUAUACUAAAUUUCUGUUUGCAUCCUUUUUCCAUUUUGGUGGAAUGUAGACAUUGCUUAAGAUGUAGUUUGAUAUUUUUCUAGGCGCAGGCCAUCAGGCUCUUCCAGUCCAGGGGCAACCAGGCCCGAGUCACCAUCAUCCUGAUGUUGCCACGAUGGGCGGCGGCAGCGGACAAACCAAUGCACCUUGCGGCGAUAUCUACGUUAGGGAGGGUGUUGUUGCCGUCCACCACGAUAACAACCUGUGUUGUGUCGAUUUUAGAUUCUUUGGUGACGAAUUGGACUACAUCCCACUGAAGGCCACUUAUCCUGCUCAUGAGCGAGGCUACUUAAAAACAAUCCUAGAAUUAUUUCUUCAAGAUAACUAUGCUUGGAUUCACAAAUGCAUGCAAUUGCCUUCAAAUGGAGGUUAGUUCUUUACUAAUUCUGUGCUAUUCCACUUUCAAGUUUUUGGUUCUAGAAGUGUAAUACUUGCUAGGUUAGCUGCAGAAGCGGGAUGUAUAUGGCCUGAAUUUAUAUUUCGAGUGUAUAAACUGAUUCAGAGUAUUCUGACAUCUGAAACAUUUUGUUGUAUGGUUCUGUCUUGAAAGAACUGAAGUAAUUCUUCUAUGGGAGAGAAUAUAAACGUGAUUCUGAAA